CUACCUCAAGAAGUCUGAUAAGAAGCUGAGCUGAGACUAGAUGAAAAUCAGGCCAGGUUCAAGAGACUUGUGCAGACAUUCACUGACCCCAUGACAGAAGUGUACCUGCUGUUCUUCCAAGCCACCGUACCAACUUUCACUUCUUUCAACUUGCUGCUUCAGAGAGAGCAGUCAUCAAUAUUUUUGUUACAUGAUGAGAUGGUGAAAUUCGUAC